rnacentral:rRNA from 1 species
GACGUAGGGGGCCAGCGUUGUUCGGAAUUACUGGGUGUAAAGGGUUCGUAGGCGGUGUGGCAAGUCGGGAGUGAAAUCUCUGGGCUCAACUCAGAGACUGCUUCCGAAACUGCUGUGCUGGAGUGUGGGAGAGGCGCGUGGAAUUGCAGGUGUAGCGGUGAAAUGCGUAGAUAUCUGCAGGAACACCCGUGGCGAAGGCGGCAUCCUGGACCGGCAUUGACGCUGAGGCGCGAAAGCCAGGGGAGCAAACGGG